ACAGCAACAACCCAAGAUGCUUAACGCCGGAUGCUUAACCCGCUGUGCUGCAAGGGAACUUCUACCUUGGUCAUUUUAGCUAUUUAUCAGUCAGCAUCUCUACGGCCGUGUUGGCAGCAACUCUACUGCUGAACUGUCCUGCCCCCAGCAUGCUCACCACCUGCAGGCUGGGACAGCAGUGGAUAAAGAUUGUGAAAAUGAGCGGCCUUUUCUUUUCGUUUUCUCCAGGUAGAAAUUUUCUUCCUGCUUCUCCUUUCCCCUGAGAAAGUGACUGGCUGGUUAGGAGAUUCUCCGCAGAGACCUCCAAGGACAUGGCAACUGUGAAACUCCUGCAAGAGAAAGUAUCAUGUGAUUCCUAAGACAAAGUUAGGGUUACUCGGGCUAUAGAAAAGAUCGUCAUAUAAAAGGCACUUUGAAAUAUAUCUUGCUGGAUGGAAACACAAUAUUAUUUCUAAAAGCAUAGUAGUGUCCUAAAAUUGGAGACAUGAGUUCGUGCGAAUUGCAGCUUUUGGCGAGCAAAUGCUGGGCCUUGCAGCCGCAAGCCCUGGCACACUUGAGUCAAAGGAGAAGAAGCCCCUGAAACUUGCUGUGCCUGCCUGGAGACCAAAAAACAUCAAUGAAAAAGAAGAGCAACUGUGGACACCUAAUGGAAGCCCACAAGGAGUGCAUGAGAGCCCUAGGAUUUAAGUUAUAAAAUGGUGGUCUGUGUUGUGAAUGAGUAAUUCCUGAAAAAUGAAGGAGAUUCUUUGGGAGAUCUUUGAUGAACUUUGAUAAAUAAAAAGUAUUUAAUUUAUUAAAAAUAUAUAUCCCCAGUCAAAAAGAUAAAUAAAAUAAAAUAGGAGACACAUACUUAAAUGACCAAAGGCAACAGACUGGAAUCUGACACAUGAGACAGGAUUAGGGAGCCUGACCCCUGCACUGACCAGGAGAAUAAAAACUUGCUAUUUUUUUUUUGCUUUUUAGGGCCGUACCCGCGGCAUAUGGAAGUUCCUAAGCUAGGGGUCGAAUUGGAGCUACAGCUGCCAGCCUAUGCUGCAGCCACAGCAACACAGGAUUCUAGCCGCGUCUGUGACCUACACCACAGCUCACAGCAACGUGGGAACCUUAACCCACUGAUCGAGGCCAGGGACCGAACCUUCAACCUCAUGGUUCUUAGUCAAAUUCGUUUCCUCUGCACCAUGAUGGGAACUCCCAGCUACGUUUUUUUUUUGUUUUUGUUUUUGUUUUUUUGGUUGAAAACACCUUAUGCUCAGAGACUGGGAUUUUCUUUGCCACUAAUUUAUUUAACACUGAUUCACUGUAGGAAUUAUAAUUUCACACGCCAAAAGCAUACAGGAUAAUGUCUCUUCCUAAUCCAAUAAAGCAAUAGCACGAUCUCAGCCAACAAUAGAUUAACCACACUGUUAUGCCAGGCAAGAGGGAGAUGAAGAAAAUAAAGUCCAAAUUGAGUUGAGGUGAAUCUUUUCAUGAGUUGGUUCCCCAGGAGAGUCAGCUUAGCCAACCAAGAGUGGGCAUCCAGCUGCCAGAGCAAAAGCAAACAUCUUUUUUGCUGAGAACAUGUUGCCCAGGAAAGAAGAUGCUGUUGGCUGUUGGCAGCACGUUGAUCUCCUUUGCGGGUGUUGCAUGGUUUUCACCACUGCCUAUAAGGAGUCCCUUUGCCCAGGCAGGAGCUAGUGCCUCAUGGUGUACAGAGAGCUGUUUAGAUCUGCAAGGAGUAGCCUUGCCCAGACCAAACACUCUGGAAUUGCUAUUCAAACCUCUUACUAUUUAAAGCUCAAACACCCCCCAGGCAUAGUUACUCCUGUCUUUAUUGAU
rnacentral:lncRNA from 1 species